rnacentral:rRNA from 1 species
CCAACAAGCCGGUAAUCGGUACGGGUUGUGGGAGCAAGAGCCCGGAGAAUGGAUUCUGAGACAUGAAUCCAGGGCCUACGGGGCGCAGCAGGCGCGAAAACUUUACAAUGCGGGAAACCCGUGAUAAGGGAACCCCGAGUGCCUGUAACCACAGGCUGUUCAGGUGUUUACAACGCAUCUGGAGAAAGGGCCGGGCAAGACCGGUGCCAGCCGCCGCGGUAAUACCGGCGGCUCGAGUGGUGGCCACUAUUACUGGGCUUAAAGCGUCCGUAGCCGGGUUGUGAAGUCUCUUGGGAAAUCCAGCGGCUUAACCGUUGGGCGUUCAAGGGAUACUGGCAAUCUAGGGACCGGGGGAGGUGAGAGGUACUCUAGGGGUAGGAGUGAAAUCCUGUAAUCCUUUGGGGACCACCUGUGGCGAAGGCGUCUCACCAGAACGGCUCCGACGGUGAGGGACGAAAGCUGGGGGAGCAAACCGGAUUAGAUACCCGGGUAGUCCCAGCUGUAAACGAUGCGCGUUAGGUGUAUCGGUGACUACGAGUCACCGACGUGCCGAAGAGAAAUCGUGAAACGUGCCGCCUGGGAAGUACGGUCGCAAGGCUGAAACUUAAAGGAAUUGGCGGGAAGGGC